GCAUUGUCCAACAAAUGAUAAACAGGUGAUUGAACUAUCAGGAUGAGUACAGAAGCAGAUCACUAUGUACAAUUAGAACUGAGCAUGGAUGGAGGAGAGAUGACCACCAGUGGAUGAGGAUGAAACACUGCCAGAUGUAUUUCAUUUUCUUCCUGGACCUGUGGGACACUGACAUUUUCCAUCUCCCCUUGCAUCUAGGAAUGAGUCAGUGGAUGUAGAUGGAAGUAACAUAAGGCAUUUCCAGAAAUGGCCCAUAGAAUGUUCCAAUGAUGAUUCACAGUUUCUCCGCUCUGCAUGACUGGAAGUGAAGGAUACCAAGAUGGUAGAAGUUCAAGAGGGAAGGAACUGAUCUAUGAACUUUCCAUGAGAAAGAAGUCCUGGGGGAGCACAUUUAUCUACUCUGAAUCUUCCCAUCCAACCUUCCAAUACAGAAAGGACAGAGAAGAAGAAACUGUGAGAAAGUCAAACAUGGAAUCUGUCAGAAGUGAGCCAGAGAACCCACAAGACUUUGAAUCAUACUGAGGUCUGAGGAGUGAAAAUAAAGAGGCCAGGGGGAAAGAAACCAGCCACCUGGGACGUCUCUGUCAGAGGAUGUUUCCAUUCCACUCC
rnacentral:lncRNA from 1 species